rnacentral:rRNA from 1 species
UAAGGAAUAUUGGACAAUGGAGGCAACUCUGAUCCAGCCAUGCCGCGUGAAGGAUGAAUGCGCUAUGCGUUGUAAACUUCUUUUAUACGGGAAAAAUAUCCGCUAUUCUUAGCGGAUUGAUUGUACUGUAAGAAUAAGGGUCGGCUAACUUCGUGCCAGCAGCCGCGGUAAUACGAAGGACCCGAGCGUUAUCCGGAUUUAUUGGGUUUAAAGGGUGCGUAGGCGUCCUGGAAAGUUACGGUUGAAAUCUCCUUGCUCAACAAGGAAACUGGCCGUAAAACUAUCAGGAUUGAGUACAUUUGAAGCGGGCGGAAUGUGUCAUGUAGCGGUGAAAUGCUUAGAUAUGACACAGAACACCAAUUGCGAAGGCAGCUCGCUAAACUGUAACUGACGCUGAGGCACGAAAGCGUGGGGAUCAAACAGG